CCUACGGGGGGCACCAGUGGGGAAUAUUGCACAAUGGGCGCAAGCCUGAUGCAGCCAUGCCGCGUGUAUGAAGAAGGCCUUCGGGUUGUAGAGUACUUUCAGCGGGGAGGAAGGCGGUGAGGUUAAUAACCUCAUCGAUUGACGUUACCAGCAGAAGAAGCACCGGCUAACUUCGUGCCAGCAGCCGCGGUAAUACGGAGGGUGCAAGCGUUAAUCGGAAUUACUGGGCGUAAAGCGCACGCAGGCGGUCUGUCAAGUCGGAUGUGAAAUCCCCGGGCUCAACCUGGGAACCGCAUUCGAAACUGGCAGGCUAGAGUCUUGUAGAGGGGGGUAGAAUUCUAGGUGUAGCGGUGAAAUGCGUAGAGAUCUGGAGGAAUACCGGUGGCGAAGGCGGCCCCCUGGACAAAGACUGACGCUCAGGUGCGAAAGCGUGGGGAGCAAACAGGAUUAGAUACCCGUGUAGUC
rnacentral:rRNA from 1 species